rnacentral:lncRNA from 1 species
GAUGAGGUAGAUGUUGGGGUGGGACACCUUAAAGCCCUGGAUCUGGGUAGUGGCUGAGUUGGUCAGUCCACCAGCUCUACUGUAUCACAUCUACAUGUUGAACUCUCCUAUACUGCUCUGGUUAGCUCACAAAGUUUGGCACCGAGCAUGGUACAAGGCCAGCUCUCCUGAGUGCUGUAGCCAUUGAAGGGUGGGGCUGGCUCUGCACAUCCCUUUGACAUUUUCAUGUUCCCAGGUGGCAGCCCAGACCAGGUAUGUCUACAUGCCUUUGGUGGAAUAAAAGCCACGAACAAUGGCACAGACAUUUGCUGCUUCAUGACCCUUACCAGCAACCUGGGUUGGGACUUCACCAUGGCCCCAGGUGACGGUACAGGCUACUCAUAUCAGAAUAUUACUCUCCACUCUUUUAUCUCCAGUUCCUCCUCUCUUCACAAUGCUCAAACCAUUCGGUUUCUCUUUCUUUCCCAUCUCUCUACCCCACGUUUGCACAUUGUAAUGGCUCCUGCUUCAGGCAGGCCAUGCAGUAGGCUAGCCUGGGUGUCUUCUGCCUGCCUGUUCCAUAUGACUUGUUUUUUUUUUUUUGAAAGAAUUUAGAAUCAUUUGUCUUUUCUCACACUUCUCUUGUUAUCCUAUCCUUCCCCUCUGCACCUUCAUUUAACCAUUCUUGUUCUGGUUUU